GCUUCCCUCUGGCGGCGUGCUUAACACAUGCAAGUCGAACGGUGAAGCCAAGCUUGCUUGGUGGAUCAGUGGCGAACGGGUGAGUAACACGUGAGCAACCUGCCCUGGACUCUGGGAUAAGCGCUGGAAACGGCGUCUAAUACUGGAUAUGAGCCUCUUCCGCAUGGUGGGGGUUGGAAAGAUUUUUUGGUCUGGGAUGGGCUCGCGGCCUAUCAGCUUGUUGGUGAGGUAAUGGCUCACCAAGGCGUCGACGGGUAGCCGGCCUGAGAGGGUGACCGGCCACACUGGGACUGAGACACGGCCCAGACUCCUACGGGAGGCAGCAGUGGGGAAUAUUGCACAAUGGGCGGAAGCCUGAUGCAGCAACGCCGCGUGAGGGAUGACGGCCUUCGGGUUGUAAACCUCUUUUAGCAGGGAAGAAGCGAAAGUGACGGUACCUGCAGAAAAAGCGCCGGCUAACUACGUG
rnacentral:rRNA from 1 species